rnacentral:rRNA from 1 species
GAUGAACGCUAGCUACAGGCUUAACACAUGCAAGUCGAGGGGAAACGACAUCGAAAGCUUGCUUUUGAUGGGCGUCGACCGGCGCACGGGUGAGUAACGCGUAUCCAACCUGCCCACCACUUGGGGAUAACCUUGCGAAAGUAAGACUAAUACCCAAUGAUAUCCCACGAAGGCAUCCGAAUGGGAUUAAAGAUUUAUCGGUGAUGGAUGGGGAUGCGUCUGAUUAGCUUGUUGGCGGGGUAACGGCCCACCAAGGCAACGAUCAGUAGGGGUUCUGAGAGGAAGGUCCCCCACAUUGGAACUGAGACACGGUCCAAACUCCUACGGGAGGCAGCAGUGAGGAAUAUUGGUCAAUGGGCGAAAGCCUGAACCAGCCAAGUGGCGUGAGGGAAGACUGCCCUACGGGGUUGUAAACCCUCUUUUGUUUGGGAAUAAAGUGCGGGACGUGUCCCGCAUUGCAUGUACCAUUUGAAUAAGGACCGGCUAAUUCCGUG